ACAGGGUUUUGCACUGUCCAGCUCAAAAAUUUUCUUCUCAGGGUCUAGAUAAUAAGGGUCCACACGCAGCCUCACUCCAAGCACUUCAUAGCCAUUCAUCUCCUCAAUAGCUGCUCGACAAGGUCCAUCGGUGUCAAAUUGAACAAAGCCAUAGUCAGUUGAUUGACCAUCAGGACGUCUUGGGAUAUUGAUAUACCAAAUCUUUCCGUAUUUGAAAAAUAGGUAUUCCAAAAGUUCAAUGUCAGCCCGGUCUGGCAAGUUCUGCAAAGAGGUGAGGAUUAAGAAAAAAAAAAAGAAGGGCAAAGGAAUUCCAAGAAAUAGUUAGAAAAACUCACAAAGGCUACAAAGUUUUGAAAAAGUAAAAGAAAUGAAAAAGGAAAGUACAGUACCCUUACAAACAACGUGUCAGGAACAAGCCCAGACAUUUUAGUACAUGGAUGACAAUCCAUCAUUUGGAUAGGCCUUCCGUGGAGGGUAGCAGAGGCCAGCUUGUUCAUUGCCAAAUCAGCUGUUAUCAUUAUGGUAAAAAAGUAGGGAAAAAAUAAUUACACAUAGUACUUUGAAGGAUUGGAAUAAAACUAAAUACUAUGACAAAAACAUGCUUUGCUAUUGCAAGCAAUCUCUUAUGCUUUUGAAGAGAAUUGCAAAAUGAAACAUAAUAUAAAAGCAAAGCACAGAUCUGAACUGCAAAUAGGAAAACAAUAUUCAAGGAAAAAAGCCAUGGUCAACAAGCUGCAUAUGGAAUAAAUAUCUUUUUAGAGCUGUUCUUUCAUACCUUAAAUCAAUCCUUAUGUUAAAAUGGAAGAAAACAAGGAAAGUGGGAAUGCACAAGCUCCGAAGGGGAUUAAGAAGGCGAGGAUUGAACUCUCGUUCCAAUGGACCAGGCGAUAUUCAAUAAAACAGAAGCCACAUUGAACCCACCCCGCACACAAUAAUCGGUUCCCACACGUCAAAAUAAUGUUGUAACAGUUAUCAUAGAUGAUAUAUUUUGGUUAAAUGAAAAAUGCUCCUUAUACGUUAACCAUUGAUCACCUUGAUCAAGGAUCUCUCUGACAAGGGGAAAAAACUUAAAUUGCCAUGUGAUCCCAUUCUAAGGAGGCACCACUGAAAGAAGAAACUUAAAUAUUUCAUCACUCUUAGAUACUGAGUCAAAAGACAGACACUUGCAUGACAACAAAUUCCUGGCACGUACUAAAUCAAGGAAGGUCCCAACUACAGCUCGCCUAUAUGCAAGAAUAAUCGGGACUCAUUUCCAAUUUCUGACUUCAAAAAGAGAAACAGGUAUUCGCUCUUCAACAAAAGUCCUAGUACGAUAAUUCAUUCCUCAAAAAUCCUAAUCUAUUUCCACAAACGACAGACAUGGAUCAACAGUUGGCAAUCACUCGUUCAUGACACAAUUGGUCUGCUUUAAAAACGCCAAAGAUGGGGGAAAAGGGUUAAACAGAAGUUUAUCUAAAUAGAUUUGCAACAAGAGACAUGAACAAUCAGAAAUUCCUCAAAGGCCAACCUUAUAAUGAAUUUUGCAACUACAGAUAUGAAUCACACGAAGCAGCUAUAAAGCAAAGGAAAAAAAUUUCAUCAACAGCAGGAUGUCAACAAAACUGACCAUGUUCUUUCUUCGCAAAGGAAACCAGGGCAUAGCGGCCAAUUAUGGAGUCACAGAAAAUCUCAGUCCUAAUCGCGACACACACGCGGAAGAGGCGAUGAACAUCCGCUCCCGUCACGGUAUCGGCCAAAGUCCAAACAUAAAGCGCCGGCAGCCCAGAACCAGACGAUCGAAGACCAGUCAUCUUCUGCUGCAGUCGAUCUCCUCCCCGAUAUCUACUCGGUUGGUUUGUGUACUCGUUUUGAACCAAUCCCUAAUUCUCUCGUUUCUAUUCUUCUACAGGAUUCCUAUUCUAUGUUAGUACGCUGUUUUGGGGUUCGACUUAUAGAGUUAUAGGAAAAUCGCAUACCGACGGAGAGGGACGGGAAUUGGGCUUCAAAAAGCAUAUAAAAUCUAGGUCAAUGCUUUAAUAGCUAGUUUGGGAGUUUAGGUUAGAAAAGAAAAGAAAAGAAACCUUAAGUUAUGAAAGAAAAGAAAGGAUGGGAAAAGAAAAGGUGAGAUGUUGAUGUUGUUUGGGAGUUUAGAUAAGAAAUGGAAUGAUUUGGGAUAUAUAUGUCAAUAAAAAUUUGUUCAAUACCCAUUUGAGGAUAAAAUGGACAUUUUUAAAAAUUUUGUUAGGCUUUCUCAAGUUUCCUUUGCUUUCCGGCCACAUUUGGGCGGAAAAGUAUAACAAUUAUGGCAGCAACAUACCAUCCAUCCAAAUCCUUUGAUUUCCUUUCUUUUCCAUCUCUUAAAAAGUCCCAAAUGGCAGAAGGAAAGUUUUUGUUCUCCUUUCCUUUCUUUUCUUAUCAAAUCCGAUCAUCCAAACUAGCUAUUAGUAACUAUAGUUUUGGUAACGAAAUAGUUUUUACUAAUAUAACAGGUUGUUACAUUUUUUACGAUUAUUUGAUUUUUUGUUGGACCUAUUCACCUAAAAAUAUGAAAGUAAAAUUUUCUUAUCUAAAAUAGUAUGUUAAACUUAAUAGAUUAGUAACUUUUAUACCUCAAAAAAUAAAUUGAAAUAAAUAUUAAAGUUAAUUUUUAAAUAAAUAAAUUAGUACUUUAUAUCCCAAACUUACUUUUUAAAUAGUAAGGCCCCAUUUGAAACCUGAAUUUUUUGAAAAUUUAUCUAAAACUUUACUAUAGUGCACCGUAGAAGUUUUUGUAAAAAUUUUUUAAAAUAAAAAACUUUUUUUCCUUUUCUUUUUUUUUUUUUCUUUUCUAUCCUCUCUUCUUCUUCUUUUCUUCCUUCCCCCUCCCCCGUCACCUGUGUUCCGACAUUGAAGAACCAACAAAUGGUCCAAAUUUGCUUUAAGUUUUCCUUUUUUUCUUUCUUUUUCUUUCCUCUCUUCUUCUUCUUUUUCUUCCUUCCCCCUUCCCCGUCACCUCUGCCUCUAGCUUUGAAGAACCAGCCGCCAUGAUGAAGCCAAUUUUUUUUCUUUUUCUUUCUCUCUUCUCCCUCUGCCUCUCCCCCUCUACUCCCUUUCACCCUCCCCCUCUCCUUCCCGAAGCCAAAGAACCGGCAGCCAUGGUUUUAGAAAAGAAGAAAGUUUCCAGUAAAAUUUCUCGCUUCCCCCUUCCCCUCUCCCUCUCCCUCUCCAUAAUUUAUGUCUUCCACUAAAUUCUCAGGGUGAAGCGGGAACAAGUUGAGCUGCGGGUGACCGCCGGCGGGCGUGUCGCUAGAUUGAUCUUAGGCUUUCUCAUCACAUGAAAACUGAGGACGGAGACUAAGAUACUUGGGCUUUCUAGUCUUCCUCCGGGUUUUUCUACGAGAUUUCCUGGUUAUUUUUUGAUUAUGGAAGCUGAUGAAGCGGUCUUAGUUCUAGCAGUAGCAGUAGUAGUACGAGUUCUGUCUCCGGUUCCACCACCAAAAGAGGGGUUGUAGAUCGGUCAAAGGGGGAGGGGGAGAAAGGAAAAAAAAAAUGUCGGAAGCAGCGCCAGAGAUGGUGACAGGCGAUGAAAGUGUGGUGGAUCGGGGUGGGGGAGAAAGAAGAAGAAAAGAGAAAGUUUUUUGUGUAUUAGAUAUUUUAAAGUGUGUAGGUUAAAAAGUAUGAUAAGUUUUUUUGGAUUCAUGUAACUAAAGUUGUUAAAAAACUAAUAGCUAAAAAAUUUGGCCAAAAACUUGGGUUCCAAACAGGCAAUAAGUUUAGUUCAAAUAACAAUAAGUUUUUAUAUAUAAACAGUAAUUUUUACUAAUAAUAUGGUAAAUUUGAUUAAGAAUUUUUGGAAUACAUGUACAAUUUUAUAUUAAAACCUUAUCUCAAACUAGUAUUAGGAAAUUUAUUUAAAAUAAUGAUAAGAUGUUUUAUUAAUGAUUAAAACUUAGUACCUUAGUUAUUAAGUAUUCAUAAUAUAUCUAUAUAAUAAAUGAUUAUAGGUAUAAUUUAAAUUUUUUUUGUAUCUAUAUAUUUUAAAAGUAGUUUUACUUUUCAGAUAACCUUAUAAAAUAUGUAAUAAAAUUUUGUCUUAUUAUAAGAUUUUAAUCAUUUUCAAUUUUUGAAAAGUUUGAAAGUUUGGAUAACAAUAACAACAAAUCUUCCUAGUUACAUGUAGAAUAUCACUUGUUUCUAUAUCACAAUUUUUAUAAUUUAACACCUAUGAAUAUAAUAAGAUAAUAAAGUUUUAAUAAAUUUACAUCUAAGACAUAAGAAUUAAUAAGAGUUAAAACCCAAACAAAAUGAGAAAUAGUAUAACAAUAAAAAUGACAAAAUUGGCAUAACGGUUAAUAUAAGAAAAUCAGUAUGAUUUGGUCUUUUUUCCUUGAGAGAUUGUUUAUAAAAAUGAGAUCCAACAAUAAAAUGAAAAUCACUUGCACAUAUAAUCUAUUGUAUAAUUUAAAUUAAAUUCAGUUCACGUAUAAAACGGUCCUAAAAUAAUUAACACACUGUGAUGCAAUGUUAUUUUAAUAACAAAUAUUUUUUACUGAAAGUCUCAAAUAUCCAUGCCAUACAUAUAAGGGAUAUUUUACCAUAUUUGUUUCCAAUUGAGUGCACAAAUUUCGUUGCCGAAAAUUAAAGACAUGAAAACUUGCAUAAAUAUCAAAUUUAUUAAAUCAAAUAAUAAGAGAGUUACAAUCUCUAAAAAUUCUUUUUUUCUUUUGAUAAUUACAAUCGCUAAAAAUUAUUGAAUCAAAGAAAUUAAUCCCCUAAUUCUUCUCUUCAAAAGCACUCAUAAUUAAAGCAUAAUAAAAUCAAGUUUUUUUUAACCUUUUAAUGUAGUAGUUAUGCUUACUAAAAAAAUUAGUAAACCAUUCCUACAAUGCAUUGCUUCUCCUAAAAGUACUAAUAUUUUGUAAAUAAGUUGAAAUAAUUUUGUAAAAGAUUUUAUGCAUUUUCACUAAUAGGGUUAAUCACAUUUUAUCCCUUUAAAAAAUACCCCAGUUCUCGGUUUACCCCCUAACCUUUAAUUUUACUCACUUAACCCCUUUUAAGAUAAAAUUGCUCUUGCAUUAUUUUAACUUUUCAUUUACCUUGUUUUUCUUUCUUUUAUUUCUUUUUUCUCUUUCUAUUUUAUUUAAUUAUUCCUCUUUCGCACAAAAAAUUUCACCUUAAUUAUUGAAAUUAAAAAACAUGAAUUAUAGAGAUCUAUCUUUUCCUUAAAUGAUUAAAAAAAUAUUCAAAUCAUUUUCCUAAAAUACAAUUUUUUUAGCCUUUCAAUUAUUUUAAUUUUCGAUUUUUCUCUUUCCUUUCUAGUUUUUUAUUUUAUUCUCAAUAAAAUAUCAUAAGAUGAAAUUGUUUUCCUUUUUUUUAUUUCUCUUUCUCUUUCUUCUCUCUUUCAUCUUUCUCAAUAGAAAUUCCAUUUCAACGAAAAUUUUUGUUUUGAACUUGUAAUUGCAUAUUUUUGGGUGAAGGUUUAAAAGGCAUCAAAACUAAUUUUGAUUUUUUGUAUGAUGCAACGUGUCAAAUAUAUAGUGGUGGGCCACAUGAGCCAAGCAAGCAAACCUUUUAACCAGUUGAGACAGGGGUAUGUUACCGGCAAAAAAAAUUGUUGUGGGACCUCUUGAAAUUAAUAAUGUAUUCAGUAAGACCUUCUCUUGGUGCCAAAGAAAUGCAAUGACGCGAAAUAUUUCCAAAUUGCCCGCGUGCCAAUGGUCAGGAGGGAUAUUUGUAAUCAAAACUUGGGCGUUAUUUGAUAGUUUUCGGAUGCCUAAAAGGCGUGGUCUAUCAUUUUGGCAAAUGGCGUGCUUUAAUUUUGUCAAAACCACACGCUUUUAAGUUAUUUAUGAUUAAUUGAUGUAGGUGAGAUUAUAUUAGCAACUUUAAUCAACUAUGUUCGACUUAGUUGACCAUGAACAAUCAUAUAAAUAGUCCUUGUUAACAGUUGUAUAAAUAGGCAUAAGUAGUUAUAACGUUGGAAUCCACUAUCUGAUUAAUGACUAUUAUGAGUUAUUAUAUUCUUAGUCCAAAAACAAAUUGAGAGAUAAAAAUGAUCCAUAUCUACCACCAUCUUAUGAGCUAGCAUCAAGGAAUCGAUAAUUAGAUUAGACCCUUAAUUAGUUAUAAUCGUCGGAAUUGACAAUCCAAUUUAAUUGUUAUAAUGAGUUGUUAUCAUCUUAGCCCAUGGAGGAAUUGGGAAAUUCAUAACAAGAUGAUCCAUUUCUACAACCGUCUACUUAUGAGUUAGCACCAAGGAAUCUAUAAUCAAAUUAGAGACUUAAUUAGUUAUAAUCAUCGGAAUCGACUAUCUGAUUAAUCGCUAUAAUCAGCUAUUAUUGUCAUAGUGUUACAAUGCAUUAAGAAAUGCAUAACGAAAUGAUCCAUAUCUAUUACCGUUUUGUUAUGAGCUAGCAACAAAGAAUCGACUAUCGGAUUGAACGCAUAAUUACGUGGUAUUUGGUAAAAGGAUUUUGGUAUAGAGAAUUGGAAUAAACCUCAUAAUCAUUGUUUAAAUUACUGCUAUUGGAAUUGAAAAUUUGAAAUUAUAUCUAAAAAUGCAAUGGCAUUUCCCAAUUCCCUUGUAACUUGGAAGGUUUAGAUAAAAGCUAAGCUUGAUUCCCUUUUAAAAACGGAGCUCGUCCCACUACUCGUUAAAAAAAUUAAUAUAUAAUAAAUAUAAAUGUAAUUAUAUUUAUAAUUAUUAUAUACACAUACAAUAUAUUAUAUAAAUAUAUAUUAUAAGUUUAUUAAUAUUAAAUAAUAAUAUAUUUAUAUUAUUUAAUUAAAUUCAUAAUGAGAGGAAUUAUCAUCUUAGGAGGUUUAAUCUUUAUUGCCUUAUUUUCUUUCACCUUAGGAGUUUUAAUCUUUAUUAUCUUAUUUCGUUUACAUGUAUAUUAGAUCUGGAAGCCGUUUCAUUGAAUGUGAAUUAGUAACGGUACUACUUUUCAUUACAUGUGUACCGUGUACUUAGAUGUAUCAAAAUGGAUUAUUUGGACAGAUUUGGGUUAGAUAAAAUGAAUAAUGGAUAUAAGUGAGUCAACCCAUUAUAUCCAUUUAAAAUUGUCCCAAAAUCAUCCACCCAAGUUCAAAUUAAACCCCCAUCAUUGUGUGCACCGGCACCAUACAACCAAACCUGCAACUCUACGAGCCCCCAAUCCAUGGGAACACAGUUCCACGGCUUUGUGCCAGAAAAUGCGGCUUAGCUUCACUAAAAGUUAUAAAGUACUUAUAUAUUAUUUUAAAUAGCAUCUAAUAUAACAGGAUCCAUCCAUAAAACUUGGACUGCAAACGAGCCCAGCCGAGUCGAGUUUUGAGCUAAUCGAGUCGAGUCUCGACUAAAUUUUACCAAACUCGAGCUCGACGAGCCGGCAAAUUUCGAGCUCGAGUUCGACUCGAAUCAAGUCGAGCCGAGCUCGAGCUCGAUUAAUAUCGAGCUCGACUUGAGCCGCUCGCGAACGGCUCGAUUCGUUUGCAACCCUACAUAAAACCAACAUGCGAUAUUAAAAUCCUAGAACAUAACAGAACAAUGCAUGUCCUACUAUAAACAACUGAGAAAGCUCCAAUUACAGUGUUUCUUAGUGCAAUAAUCCACACCAUUCCCUCGCUCAGAAAGCCAUUAGGAAAACAUGCUAUCAGUCAAGGGUAACGAUGCCAACCGAUCAGCAACAUGGCUUGAAAGCUCUUCAAUCAAAACAUUCCCCAUGGGCGGCAAUGCAUCUGUCCCACAAUCAGUAAACGCACCAGCAGCAUCCACUUUCGCAAUCUGCUGCAGCAAUUUUCCCUGCACCAUAUGAAUUUGAUUCCCUUGCUCAAACACAAGAUUUUGAAUGUUUUUAAAAAAUUAUCUAUAAUUUUGCCCACUAAUUCCUGCUUCACCCUCCUUGUCAUUCUCAAGCUAGAGGAACACACAGUACUUAUUUUGAACCCUCCAACUCAACUCUUCUUCUAAUUUCUUUAAAGUGGUUUCUUCCAUGUUCCAUCUAAUGACCAAGAAUAUGCAGAAGAUGCUACUCAACAUUUGGCAAGAAUUGAGUAAAAGGACAUGCAUGUAUCUUGUCAUACAGAAGCUCUACCUUUUUCACCUUUUCUCUCUUACUACAUGAGGCUGCCUGAUGAUGAAAGGGUGGUUAAGUAACAGCAACAACUUCGACUUUUACAGACCAAGAAAUAAUUAGCAAAAUUCACUGUCAACGGAGUAUUCUCCUCCAUUCUUUUAGACUUUUCUGUUAGUGUGAUUCUUUCCGAUGAUUUUGCAUUGCAAUGAAUUGCAAAAAAAGAAAUCAUUGACUCGACAAAGUAUAUGUUGAACCUUUAACUUCUACAAGAAUAUUUCCAAGAGAAAUUUGGAUUUGUGUUCCAAACAAUUUAAGGUAAAAAAAGAAAUUAGAAUAAAGAGAGACAUUCACCAGACUUUCAGAAUACAGCACUUACUAUUGCAAGGAAAAGAAAAUGAAUCCAUACACGAUCACAUAGAUGCGUGAUUUUCAGUCAACAAAGAGACAGGAUACAGACCUUGCUUGCACCCGUGUUUAUCUGUUGAGCAAGCACAUUCCGAACAGCACAAACCACGUCAGCUGCAUCUUGUGAAUAACCAUCACAGGGUUUUGCACUGUCCAGCCCAAAAAUUUUCUUCUCAGGGUCUAGAUAAUAAGGGUCCACACGCAGGCUCACUCCAAGCGCUUCAUACCCAUUCAUCUCCUCAAUAGCUGCUCGACAAGGUUCAUCACUGUCAAAUUGAACAAAGCCAUAGUCGGCUGAUUGACCAUCAGGACGUCUUGGGAUAUUGAUAUACCAAAUCUUUCCGUAUUUGAAAAAUAGGAAUUCCAAAAGUUCAAUGUCAGC
rnacentral:lncRNA from 1 species